GGAGAGGUGGCCGAGUGGCUGAAGGCAGUCGCCUGCUAAGCGAUUAAGGGGGUACAACCUCCUUCGCGGGUUCGAAUCCCGCCCUCUCCGCCA
rnacentral:tRNA from 1 species